UACGUAGGGGGCGAGCGUUGUCCGGAUUCAUUGGGCGUAAAGCGCGCGUAGGCGGCUUCGCAAGUCGGCCGUGAAAUCUCCGGGCUCAACUCGGAGGGGUCGGGCGAGACUGCGAGGCUCGAGGUGGGCAGAGGGCAGUGGAAUUCCGGGUGUAGUGGUGGAAUGCGUAGAGAUCCGGAGGAACACCAGUGGCGAAGGCGGCUGCCUGGGCCUGGCCUGACGCUGAGGCGGCGAAAGCUGAGGGGAGCAAACGGG
rnacentral:rRNA from 1 species